rnacentral:rRNA from 1 species
AGAGGAAGGCUCGUCCGCUCUGGGUUAGUCGGGUCCUAAGCUGAGGCCGACAGGCGUAGGCGAUGGAUAACAGGUUGAUAUUCCUGUACCACCUAUAAUCGUUUUAAUCGAUGGGGGGACGCAGUAGGAUAGGCGAAGCGUGCGAUUGGAUUGCACGUCUAAGCAGUAAGGCUGAGUAUUAGGCAAAUCCGGUACUCGUUAAGGCUGAGCUGUGAUGGGGAGAAGACAUUGUGUCUUCGAGUCGUUGAUUUCACACUGCCGAGAAAAGCCUCUAGAUAGAAAAUAGGUGCCCGUACCGCAAACCGACACAGGUAGUCAAGAUGAGAAUUCUAAGGUGAGCGAGCGAACUCUCGUUAAGGAACUCGGCAAAAUGACCCCGUAACUUCGGGAGAAGGGGUGCUCUUUAGGGUUAACGCCCAGAAGAGCCGCAGUGAAUAGGCCCAAGCGACUGUUUAUCAAAAACACAGGUCUCUGCUAAACCGUAAGGUGAUGUAUAGGGGCUGACGCCUGCCCGGUGCUGGAAGGUUAAGAGGAGUGGUUAGCUUCUGCGAAGCUACGAAUCGAAGCCCCAGUAAACGGCGGCCGUAACUAUAACGGUCCUAAGGUAGCGAAAUUCCUUGUCGGGUAAGUUCCGACCCGCACGAAAGGCGUAACGAUUUGGGCACUGUCUCAACGAGAGACUCGGUGAAAUCAUAGUACCUGUGAAGAUGCAGGUUACCCGCGACAGGACGGAAAGACCCCGUGGAGCUUUACUGUAGCCUGAUAUUGAAAUUCGGCACAGCUUGUACAGGAUAGGUAGGAGCCUUUGAAACGUGAGCGCUAGCUUACGUGGAGGCGCUGGUGGGAUACUACCCUAGCUGUGUUGGCUUUCUAACCCGCACCACUUAUCGUGGUGGGAGACAGUGUCAGGCGGGCAGUUUGACUGGGGCGGUCGCCUCCUAAAAGGUAACGGAGGCGCUCAAAGGUUCCCUCAGAAUGGUUGGAAAUCAUUCAUAGAGUGUAAAGGCAUAAGGGAGCUUGACUGCGAGACCUACAAGUCGAGCAGGGUCGAAAGACGGACUUAGUGAUCCGGUGGUUCCGCAUGGAAGGGCCAUCGCUCAACGGAUAAAAGCUACCCCGGGGAUAACAGGCUUAUCUCCCCCAAGAGUUCACAUCGACGGGGAGGUUUGGCACCUCGAUGUCGGCUCAUCGCAUCCUGGGGCUGUAGUCGGUCCCAAGGGUUGGGCUGUUCGCCCAUUAAAGCGGUACGCGAGCUGGGUUCAGAACGUCGUGAGACAGUUCGGUCCCUAUCCGUCGUGGGCGUAGGAAAUUUGAGAGGAGCUGUCCUUAGUACGAGAGGACCGGGAUGGACAUACCUCUGGUGUACCAGUUGUCGUGCCAACGGCAUAGCUGGGUAGCUAUGUGUGGACGGGAUAAGUGCUGAAAGCAUCUAAGCAUGAAGCCCCCCUCAAGAUGAGAUUUCCCAACUUCGGUUAUAAGAUCCCUCAAAGAUGAUGAGGUUAAUAGGUUCGAGGUGGAAGCAUGGUGACAUGUGGAGCUGACGAAUACUAAUCGAUCGAAGACUUAAUCAA